AACGCACCUUGCGCUCCUUGGUAUUCCGAGGAGCAUGCCUGUUUGAGUGUCAUUAAAUUCUCAACCUCACCAGUUUUCUGAACUGCGUCGAGGCUUGGAUGUGGGGGUUUGUGCAGGCUGCCUCAGCGCGGUCUGCUCCCCUGAAAUGCAUUAGCGAGGUUCAUACUGAGCUUCCGUCUAUUGGUGUGAUAAUUAUCUACGCCGUGGACAGGGUUCAGACUCGCUUCUAACCGUCCCUCGGGACAAUACCCAUGACAAUUUGACCUCAAAUCAGGUAGGACUACCCGCUGAACUUAA
rnacentral:misc_RNA from 1 species